UAUGUGAAUAUCCUUUAACUAAAUCUUCUGUCUAUAUGAUUGCUGAAGUUAGAUACUCUACAUGCAAAAUUAUAGUGUAUCUGGAAAAUCCAUAAUCUUCAAAUCAUCAAUUGGUUUGGUUCGAACCAUCUAUCCAAUUCAACUCAGAUAUUACCUUUAAGCCAUAUUUUGUAGAGAGUAAAUGCUGUGGGAAUGGGCGUGGAGUGCAACUAAGUAGAAUGGUUGAUGUAUUCCUUUGUUUGGUUGCAUAAUGGUAUGGAAUGGUAUGGAAAGUGGUACUUGCCAUUCUUAUGCUUGGCGUGCUCUACUGCAUUGAUGAGCAACUAAUUGAGCUAACAUCGCCCCUCUUUUUUUUCUAUCUUGUAUAGUUCAAUUCACCCAACCAACUUGACCUGCCUGGUGUUUUUGGCUCAUCUAACUGUCCGAUCUGUCUGAUUUUUUUUUUAUCCAUCUAGCUCACUUGGUCCAUCAGGUUCAUCAAGUGAGUAUGCUCCAUCCGACUCCUUCAGUCAGUAUAUAUCAGGCCUGGUUUGUUCAGUUUUUUUUUACUCUGUUCAACUUGCUUGAUCUACCCUAUUUUUUCAACACAUUUGAACCUCCUGAUAUAUUUGGUUGCCCAGUCAAUCUUGUCUAUUUGAUGAGUCUGUCUGGUCUGCCCGUCUAGCCUGACUUGUCCAGUUCACCAAAUCACUUGACGUAUGUAAUCCCUCUUGUUCAUUUUGUCUGCUUGUUGCAGUCCGUCUGAUUUGUCUAGUUUGUGUGGUUCAGCUAACUUAUUGAUUUUCAUUUCAGACUUGAAAUGAGGAACACAUUAUUUUCAGUAGAGGUUAAAUGCUUCAUUCCAUCUCUUAGGUACUAUUUACUGAUGCAGAGGGAAGUUUGAUGGAAGGAGAGAAGGAAAGAGGGAUGGAGAGUGAAGAAAAAAUGGGGGAGAGUGUUUACUUGGUGGAGAAAGGGAAGAGGAGUAGGAGAUGGGCAGGGGGAAAUUGUCCAAAUUACCCCUUUAUCUUCAGUAUUUGCUUGAUAAACCCUAGCUGCACAAUUUCAGAGACAUGAUUUGUCAUUGUGACUGGUCUUCCCUUCGCUGUCUGUACCAUUUGAAUCUUUCCAGUAAUCUGCCUAACCUCAGAAUGGAUGGAUUGAUGAAUGCAUUGGACAAAGUCUUGGUGGAUCUGAGGGAACUGCAGAGAUUGCCACUUGAAGUCGCCAUUGAGCUCAUGAAGAUGCAGGAAAAGAGAAGUCAUCUACAAUCUGUUUUUAGAAGCCACUCAAGGAUGAAGAUGAAUGUUUUUUUUCAUCUUUCCACUUCAAAUCCCCUCCCUUCCAUUGCUUCCACUUGAUUUUAGGUGUAAGCAAUUGGUGUCUCUAUAUGAUCUCUGUGGUUGAAAGCACAUGCGUGAUCUUGGCUUCUGAGAAUGAAUUUGUUCUCUGCAAGUACUCUUUACCCUAAAGCUAUUAAUACGUUGUAUUACUUGUGUCAUCUGAGAGUGUUCAAUUCAAAUAUUAGAAUAAAAUUGUAAAAUUGAUAAUCCUCCA